AACGAACGCUGGCGGCAGGCUUAACACAUGCAAGUCGAGCGCCCCGCAAGGGGAGCGGCAGACGGGUGAGUAACGCGUGGGAACCUACCCUUUGGUUCGGAAUAGCCCAGGGAAACUUGGGGUAAUACCGGAUAAGCCCUUCGGGGGAAAGAUUUAUCGCCAAUGGAUGGGCCCGCGUCGGAUUAGCUAGUUGGUGGGGUAACGGCCUACCAAGGCGACGAUCCGUAGCUGGUCUGAGAGGAUGAUCAGCCACACUGGGACUGAGACACGGCCCAGACUCCUACGGGAGGCAGCAGUGGGGAAUAUUGGACAAUGGGCGCAAGCCUGAUCCAGCCAUGCCGCGUGAGUGACGAAGGUCUUCGGAUUGUAAAGCUCUUUUGGCGGGGACGAUAAUGACGGUACCCGCAGAAUAAGCCCCGGCUAACUUCGUGCCAGCCGCCGCCGUAACAC
rnacentral:rRNA from 1 species